ensembl:snoRNA SNORD36 Small nucleolar RNA SNORD36
UUGCAAUGAUGUUUGAAUUUCUUCACCUGACCCCUAUCUGUGAAGAGCAAAAUUAUACGAGCUUUUUAACCCUGAGCAAU